AUACGUAGGGGGCGAGCGUUGUCCGGAAUGAUUGGGCGUAAAGGGCGCGUAGGCGGCCCGGUAAGUCUGGAGUGAAAGUCCUGUUUUUAAGAUGGGAAUUGCUUUGGAUACUGUCGGGCUUGAGUGCAGGAGAGGUAAGUGGAAUUCCCAGUGUAGCGGUGAAAUGCGUAGAGAUUGGGAGGAACACCAGUGGCGAAGGCGACUUACUGGACUGUAACUGACGCUGAGGCGCGAAAGUGUGGGGAGCAAACAGGAUUAGAUUCCCUGGUAGUCCACACCGUAAACGAUGAAUGCUAGGUGUAGGGGGUAUCGACCCCUUCUGUGCCGCAGUCAACACAAUAAGCAUUCCGCCUGGGGAGUACGGCCGCAAGGUUGAAACUCAAAUGAAUUGACGGGG
rnacentral:rRNA from 1 species